rnacentral:rRNA from 1 species
CCCUUAGAUGUUCUGGGCCGCACGCGUGCUACACUGAGUGGAUCAGCGGGUCAGGUUGCGCGAAAGCGUUUCCUAAUCUUUAAAUCCGCUCGUGAUGGGGAUUGACGGUUGCAAUUUUCUGUCAUGAACGAGGAAUACCUUGUAAGCGCGGGUCAUCAUCCCGCGCUGAAUACGUCCCUGCACUUUGUACACACCGCCCGUCGCUCCUACCGAUUGAGUGGUCCGGUGAGGCUUUGGGAUCUGAGCGGAAAGAGCGUUUCGCUGUUUCUGCUCGGAAAACUCAGUCGAACCUUAUCAUUUAGAGGAAGGAGAAGUCGUAACA